rnacentral:rRNA from 1 species
AACGAACGCUGGCGGCAUGCCUAACACAUGCAAGUCGAACGAGACCUUCGGGUCUAGUGGCGCACGGGUGCGUAACGCGUGGGAACCUGCCCUUAGGUUCGGAAUAACUCCCCGAAAGGGGUGCUAAUACCGGAUAAUGUCUUCGGACCAAAGAUUUAUCGGCUUUGGAUGGGCCCGCGUUGGAUUAGCUAGUUGGUAGGGUAAAAGCCUACCAAGGCGACGAUCCAUAGCUGGUCUGAGAGGAUGAUCAGCCACACUGGGACUGAGACACGGCCCAGACUCCUACGGGAGGCAGCAGUGGGGAAUAUUGGACAAUGGGCGAAAGCCUGAUCCAGCAAUGCCGCGUGAGUGAUGAAGGCCUUAGGGUUGUAAAGCUCUUUUACCCGGGAUGAUAAUGACAGUACCGGGAGAAUAAGCGCCGGCUAACUCCGUG